CUGCAGCCCGAGUGGUGAUCGAUUUUAUUGAGCCUAAAGCGUCCGUAGCCGGACUAGUAAACCCUUGGGUAAAUUGGGCAGCUUAACUGUCCGAAUUCCGAGGGGACUGCUAGUCUUGGGACCGGGAGAGGUCAGAGGUACUCCAGGGGUAGGGGCUAAAUCCUGUAAUCCUUUGGGGACCACCAGUGGCGAAGGCGUCUGACUAGAACGGAUCCGACGGUAAGGGACGAAACCCUGGGGCGCGAACCGGAUUAGAGACCCGAGUAGUCC
rnacentral:rRNA from 1 species